UUGCUUUCCAAAGUUACCCUCCCACUUAUUCCCAAUAGCAAAAAUUGACUCAGACUCUACUAUUCUGAUGCCUGAUAAUACAUUUGCUGGGUUUCAGAGCAGAAUCUUCAGAAUACAGAAGCAACACGUAGAUAACAAUGAGAGAAUGAGUACACUUUAUCUUUAGCCAAACUAUCUACCCUUGUUAUGAGCAAGGUCCAGAACUAUACAAUAAAAGUUCUAGACAGCGUGAGAAGACCAC
rnacentral:lncRNA from 7 species